rnacentral:rRNA from 1 species
GACAGAGGGUGCAAACGUGUUCGGAAUUACUGGGCGUAAAGCGCGUGUAGGCUGCUUGGAAAGUCGGAUGUGAAAGCCCUGGGCUCAACCUAGGAAGUGCAGUUCGAAACUUCCAGCUGGAGUGCUGGAGAGGAAGGCGGAAUUCUCGGUGUAGAGGUGAAAUGCGUAGAUAUCGGAAGGAACAUCAGUGGCGAAGGCGGCUCACUGGCCCGAUACUGACGCUGAGGCACGAAAGCGUGGGGAGCAAACAGG